UACGUAGGGGGCAAGCGUUGUCCGGAAUCAUUGGGCGUAAAGAGCGUGUAGGCGGUUCGGUAAGUCCGCUGUAAAAGUCCAGGGCUCAACCCUGGAAAGCCGGUGGAAACUGUCGAGCUCGAGUCCGGAAGAGGCGAGUGGAAUUCCUGGUGUAGCGGUGAAAUGCGCAGAUAUCAGGAGGAACACCAAUGGCGAAGGCAGCUCGCUGGGACGGUACUGACACUGAGACGCGAAAGCGUGGGGAGCAAACAGG
rnacentral:rRNA from 1 species